ACAUUCUGAAUCACUAUUUUGUCCCCCUGAGGACCAAUUAUAAUGUUGGUCAAGCUGUUUUGCACCAAAAACAUUGGCUGCAUCUAUAGGUACACCUUUAGUAAUUGCUUCAUGACUGUUAAAAAAGUAUGUUCUAUAUAGCAUGAAUGUGUAGUAUGAAUGUAAUCUGGACAUGCAUUUGUCAUGUGACCUACCAGCAUUAGUUAUAUCAGCUGCUGUUCACAAAUCCUCUCCCGUGGCCUCAUGGGAUAGUGAUGUAUCCAUUGGAUGUCACUUCAGAAUAACAUCAGAAGUAGUAAGACAUCCAGGAACUUUUCUCCAGCUGUUUAGUGAAAACAAUGAAGUCAGACAUACUACUCUUUUCACACACUGUUUUUUGCAUAAGUAUGUGAUUUCGGCUGCUGCCGCUGAAAUAUCACAUGAACCAUUACUAAGAAAAACACUCACCUUCCUCUUUCAGGGUGAUGCAACUCCUGCAAAAGAGAACUCGGUGUCUUUCAGCUCAACCAAUCAGAUCAUUAAUCAGCAGCAAGAAACUGACCAAUCACGAUCUGCAUAUAGAGGGACUGGAGUUCAGCGGGCUGAAGCAGUGUGGCAUGACAGCGAGGACAGCGAAGGACCCUGCAGUACAGUCUGACACAAACUGGUGCAACGAAUCAUACACAGGGAACGUCUCUACUUCAUCCAAUGAAAUAACUGGAAUCUUUUUUAAAAAUCUGAGAUUACAAAUGACAACUUCUCACUGUGAACUAGUGGUGCAACGGAUCACAAAACUCACGGUUCGGAUCAGCAAAAAAAUUUAAAUAAAAAACAAAAUUAGUGAAAGCUUACUUUAAGUACUUCUAUACCACAGCAAAACUACUAGCUUUAAUAAAGUUAGUAUAAUAAAACAAGAACAAUUACACAAAUUACAAGCAUAUAUGAAUACAACAAAACACAGUUACAAAUAAAGUUAGUAACAGUAGCAUUCAGGUGCAGAAAUUUAAUAAUUAAGUGUAAAAUAACACAAUAGUACUCACUGCACAAGUUAAAUACAGAUUAAUCUUUGUUAGAGCUGUGGUGUUAUUUGAUUAGCAGACAGAAACAGGUAUUUAUUGGCUGCUGUCUCUUUAAGACCAAAUGCACGGACCGAUUACUGACACACAUCCGGGUUUUUUUUUCCCAGCUUUUUAGGUUCACUCAAGACAUAACCGACUGUGUUUACUAGAAUACUUGCCAAAACUGGUAUUUUAACAUAACUUUGUGUGUAUGUGAAAGAGGAAUCAAUUCGCUGUUCGCGUGGUGUCUCUGCGUGUGCAGCAGAAAACAGCGUCCAAAUUAAAAUUGCUUGAAUGUGUAAACUGGCAAGACAAAACAUGUGCAAAUGAUAAACUUUCGCUCUAUGAUGGUUAAACUUAACAGUUAAUCCGCAAAUCACAUGCGUGCCGAACCGUGGGGCCGGGUCCGUACAGAUCACGGAUCAUCUACGAUCCGUUGCACCCCUACUGUGAACUAACAUGAAGCACCACCUCACAACCAGGCCCGGAUUAAGAACACAUAGGGGUUUGCUAUAGCCCCAGGGCCCUAUGUGUAGUGGAACACUAAAUAUUCCAGGCUACAACACAUUAAAAUAAUAAAUACAUUAACACCAGAUAUAUGAAGUCAAAGCAAACAGCAACUGUUAAGCAUAUUCAGCUCCCUUAAGGAGUUUACAUUAAAUAGUUUUAUUAUUAGGUCUUCUUUCUGGCCCUAGAAGAGGAGAAUCAUCAGGGCUGGGCUGGUGCUUAAAUUCAGCCCAUCUGGCCCACACCACACAGUCCCCCAUAAAUGUUUGCUGGGGUUAGGGCAAUUUGAAUAAAUAAUUUAUUAAAGGGGUCAUGCUGUUGCUAAAAAAAAAUUAUUUUG
rnacentral:lncRNA from 1 species